rnacentral:rRNA from 1 species
UAUUCCCAAACAACUCGACUCUUCGAAAGUAUCUUACAAUGAGAAUAGAUUUUACGGGGCUGUCACCCUCUAAGGCGCUGUGUUCCAACAGACUUUAAUCCGCUCUCAAGAUACAAUCUACAAAUUACAACUCGACCUGGUGGCCGAUUUCAAAUUUGAGCUUUUGCCGCUUCACUCGCCGUUACUAAGGCAAUCCCUGUUGGUUUCUUUUCCUCCGCGCUUAUUGAUAUGCA